rnacentral:rRNA from 1 species
UACAGAGGUCUCAAGCGUUGUUCGGAUUCAUUGGGCGUAAAGGGUGCGUAGGCGGCGCGGUAAGUCGGGUGUGAAAUCUCGGGGCUUAACUCCGAAACUGCAUUCGAUACUACCGUGCUUGAGGACUGGAGAGGAGACUGGAAUUUACGGUGUAGCGGUGAAAUGCGUAGAUAUCGUAAGGAAGACCAGUGGCGAAGGCGGGUCUCUGGACAGUUCCUGACGCUGAGGCACGAAGGCCUGGGGAGCAAACGGG